rnacentral:rRNA from 1 species
AUUGAACGCUGGCGGCAGGCCUAACACAUGCAAGUCGAACGAGUGGCGGACGGGUGAGUAAUGUCUGGGAAACUGCCUGAUGGAGGGGGAUAACUACUGGAAACGGUAGCUAAUACCGCAUACCAUCGGAUGUGCCCAGAUGGGAUUAGCUAGUAGGUGGGUUAAAGGCUCACCUAGGCGACGCACCCUAGCUGGUCUGAGAGGAUGACCACCCACACUGGAACUGAGACACGGUCCAGACUCCUACGGGAGGCAGCAGUGGGGAAUAUUGCACAAUGGGCGCAAUCCUGAUGCAGCCAUGCCGCGUGUAUGAAGAAGGCCUUCGGGUUGUAAAGUACUUUCAGCGGGUAGGCGUUACCAACAGAAUAAGCACCGGCUAACUUCGUGCCAGCAGCCGCGGUAAUAC